CCGUCUGUCCGGCCCGGCCCGCCGCGGGGAGGGAACGGCGCAGGCGGUGGGGGAGGCCCCGGGGCGGCGGCAGGGUGCGGGUCGGGUUUGCUCCUCACCGGGUCCCCGGUGGGGGGAAAAGCCGGUGGUUUCGCCUGGAAGAACCCCACAGUUCACGGGACUGCUGGAGUCGCAUCCCGCCGUGGCGCGGCAAAGCCAGCCCGACGCCAGCCCGGCCGAGUGCAGAAUCCAUCCCAUAAACUGCUGGGCACGCUCAGGCCAGGCAAAGUCACCUGUACGUCCUCAUGGGACAGGGCCUCGUCCCACACGUUCCCCUGCUGCUCCGUGAACCCCACGUGCUUCUGACUCUGUCCAGGGGGUUGUACGGGGAAACCCCCUAAAGGGGACACCAGGGACAAGGCAGGUGGCAACAGUGGGGCCAACACCACCGUGCCUGGUGCCCUCUCCAGGCACAGUCCCUCUGCGAGAGGGAUAACUAAAUUUUGGGCAGGGGAGAGGGGUUGAGGGUGCAGAAGGUCCUGACCAGGCGGGAUGAUCCUGCACGCCCCUUGUCCACCUGGCCGCUGGGCUCAGCUCCAGGUGAGCGUGUCCCACCCCAUCGGCUGCGCAGGAGCAGGGACCCAGAUCCAGCAUCUUCCCACCUGCGCUGGCUGGGGAUUUACCCUCUCGCCCUCAGGAGAGCUGCCGAAGUGAAACCGCGGAAGUUUUCUAGGACAAGUGAGCAAGAGGAGCUGGGGUAGAAAGAGGGAGAGCAAAAGGGAAGGGAAAAAAGCCCUCCUGGCAGGUUUUCAGGGCCCAAAGUCGCGGUGGAAAUGCUUCCCUUCCCUUAAUUGCUUCGAGACCAGAUGAAUUUCUUGAAGGAACCGCAACUGAAACGCUGCACAAAUCACAUUGUUGUGCUUGUGUUGGCUGCCUUCUUAAGGAGGUAAAAGGUCAUAGUUUAUGGUAUAUUAAAAAGAAAAAAAAAUCUUGUAGCGCUGUGGAGGAAGGGGUUGUGUUGCUUUUUCAUACCCGCGUUCUGGAGAUUAAAACCUGUUUGGCAAGCACCAGAGCGCGACUCGCAGCGAAGAGCAGGGCUGAGAAAAUGCACUGAUGCGGGGCUUUAUGUGUCCCCCCCAAGCCACCCCGUCGCAUCCCCAUCCCUCGGCUGGCAAGGCGAUGCCCACGUGAGGAGCGGGGCUCCGGGCGCUGCUCCCGUGGGGUUUGCUGGCCCACGGGGGCUGCCCGUGUCAGCCCGGCGCUGCGCCUCUGCAAGUCUCUGCAGCUUCAGGGCGCUAGAGCGUGCAGCGCUGUCUGUCUGACGGUCCUUCACUGGUGCGAAGUGGCAGGAAAGUCCUGAUUCCAGCCUCCGCUGAUUUUAUUCAAGCACAGAAACGUGGCUGCUCCUUUUUCUCCCUUUUCUCACCGGUCAGUAAAAUGAUGGAGGUUAUUUUCCUCCCGCUGGCUGUGUGUGAGCAGACGCUUGCUGCUCUGCCUCUGAGUCACCAGUGUAGAAGUGCUGCUUGCUCCUCUCGCCUCCCCUCCGGACCGCCACUUGGCUCCAGCUUCCCUUUGCUUUUAGGAAUCCCUCACCCGUAAGAGGUUGCAUCUUCCCAAAUGUGGCAGGACUUGAACCAGCAAAUGAGAAAAACGGGCAGGCCGCCUGCCCUAGGCACCAGCAGAGAGGAAGGUGCUGGACAUGCCGAGGCCCGGUGUGCUGUCCCUCACCUGUCUCAGCCCCCCGAAAGCAGCUCAGACCAUAAACCCAGGACUGGGUUGCAGACGGACAGACAGAGGGAUGCAGAACUGGCCCAGCCGCUCAGCAGCAAAGACCCAUCAUGCUGGGCGGGACGGGAGCACCUGGCCUUGUGAUGCUCACGGGCAGGAUGAGCCCCAAAGCUCGCUGGAGUCAAUGGAAAGGCUCUUGCUGACCCAAAAAGACCUGAACUGGGUCUCCAAAGGGCUCCUAUCAGCUGGGCACAGGCUGGAAGCACAGAGCUGUGUGGUUGGAUGGCCUGGGAUUUCAGAAGACAAAUUACUAUUUUUAUAACUUAAGAAGCUUUGCCCCCUUUUCUAGAAGCAUUUCUUUCAGAGCCACGUGCCCGCAGGACACAGUGAUGUUAGAUGUUGUCCCCCGAAGCGACUCGCAGCGCUGUAGGGCUGUGCCAUGGCUCUGUGGGCUUUUGUGGCCACGCCUGACCAGUGUAAAGGACCGUGCAAAGCACCUGAGCGCCAGUGACAUACCUCUGCCCUGCACAGAGACCCCCCAGCCAGCCUCGGAGCACAGUCUGAGGAAGGAAUUGAAAUGGAAAGGUGAGCUACUCAUUCAUAGAGGAGCUUGGCAUUGAUUUAUGGGAUGCUCUCAGCCCUGGUUUUGCAAGAAUAUGACGUGAUGGUAAAAAGUUUUGGAAGAUGCUGAACUCUGCCUUGUCGGUGCCAGGUGAGGCAGCAGGCGAGCAGGCGCGGGGCAGGCGGCCGUGCACACCCGAGCACGGCCUUGCAUGACUACAGCCGGCUGGAAACACAAAGACAUUGUUUUUAAGUGAUAGCGGCCCCCCCUUUCCCCGGCUCCUUGGGAGAGGACAGCAUUCCUGUGUCGCAUUCCUCAGCCACUGCUGAGAUGGGGAGGGGAGACCUGAGCCAGAGGAAGAAAGCACGUUUUAAUUAGGAAAGUGGCCCGUCUACUCAUGUGAUGGUGGUGGGUGGUGCGGGCAGGGAGGGAGAGCAGAAUUGCCCAUAAAACAAGAUAAAGUGCAUGCGGAUCAGGUAAUAAGGAUAAUUACACAAGAGCCUGUGGAUGUAAGAAUGUCAACCAGAUGUUUCCAAGUUGCGGAAAAUCAGCGGUUUCCCAACAGAUCCGCUUAGAGCAGCUGAAAGCAUCCUUUAUCCUGCAACGGCAGGGACUCAGGGCACUCCUUGGCGAGGAGGACGGGGUGGUUUGGUCCAAGGGCUGCUGACCACAGGGCAAAACUGCCUGCGGCCGCUGGCCACGCUGCCUCUGAGUUGCUUUGUGAAAGCUUUUAAGCAGAGGAAAUCCUCAGCGCAACAGCAAAUGGAAAGGGAAGAGGGCUUUGCUGGAGAGGCAAGUUCAGCUCCUUGCUCUGGGGCUGGCUUUGGGGUGAGGUCUCUGUGCCACAGCUACGCUGCCGAAUGGGGCUGAAAUACCACCGGGAGGAUGGGCGCGCACUGAUUCUUCUCCAACUGAAAAUACCCUCAGGAUACUGAAUUGCCGAUGGUCAGUAUAUGGCAGGGAGAAAGAACUGGGCUGCUGACGCCUGCAGACGAACAGGGAAAGCAUCACGAGGCGACUGGAGCCCGUCUGCCCUAACCCGCAGCUGCACCAGCCUUUCCUGGGCCGGUGGAGCCCAAAAAACUGCUUAUUCUUGUAAAAGUUUUGUUAGUACAAACACCUUCUCAGUAGCAUGGUUGGGUUCACAGCCCGAGGUCGUGUUACUUUUACCACUUCAGUUUGUGAAUGGCGCAUCUAUAAAGUUCACCAUGGACUUUGCUGUUGAUUUUUUUUUUUUUUUAAAAAAGAGCAUUUAGUGGUGGGCACCGAUAUCGGCAAAAUAGGAGAGAUUUGGGAAGGGGGAGCUGGGAAUGAGUUCCUACAGACAGCUGUUCCCAGGGCCUGGGCAGCACGGUAACCUGUGAGAGUCCUCUGA